rnacentral:lncRNA from 1 species
UCAGAGUUUACCAGGACAAAAUUCACAACAAAGGAGGCAGCUGUCUCUAAUGCAGUGAAGAACCAGCAGCAAAAGAUAAUUGGGAAUGAGAUGGAUCUGGAGAAAAUCCAAGCUGAUAUCCGAAUACUAAGAGCAAUGCUUAAGUUCAGGAGGGCCUCACUAGACGAACUUAAAAAGCAUGUUACGUCCCUCACUAUCAGCAACCAGCAGCUGGCAAAAAAGAUCCAGGACAUAGAAGCCGUCACUGCAGAGAAAGUGCGGAAGCUUCUACAGCAGCAGGACAUGUUUGGGGCUGAUUGUAUUGAAGAGGCAAUAUGAUGCAGUGUCUCUGAAAUCAAUAGACCUGGCUUCAAAUCCCCCCUCUAAUGGUUGCUGC